AGAUGUUGGUUUCGCUUAGCGAGAUCAGUGUCACAGCUAACGCGUUAAGUGAUCCGCUUGGGGAGUACGGUCGCAAGAUUAAAACUCAAAGGAAUUGACGGGGGUCCGCACAAGCGGUGGAACAUGUGGUUUAAUUCGACACUACGCGAGGAACCUUACUUAGACUUGACAUGUAAGUGAAUGCUGCAGAGAUGUAGAGUUCUUAGUUUAUUAGGACACUUACACAGGUGCUGCAUGGCUGUCGUCAGCUCGUGUCGUGAGAUGUUGGGUUAAGUCCUUUAACGAGCGCAACCCCUACCGUUAGUUGCUAGCCUUCGGGCGCACUCUAGCGGGACUGCCUUGGAAACAAGGAGGAAGGUGGGGAUGACGUCAAGUCCUCAUGGCCCUUAUGUCUAGGGCUACACACGUGUUACAAUGGCGAGUACAGCGGGGAGCGAACCCGCGAGGCUGAGCAAAUCCUUUAAAGCUCGUCUAAGUUCGGAUUGAAGUCUGAAAUUCGACUUCAUGAAGUUGAAAUCGCUAGUAAUCGCGUAUCAGAACGACGCGGUGAAUACGUUCUCGGACCUUGUACACACCGCCCGUC
rnacentral:rRNA from 1 species